rnacentral:rRNA from 1 species
GAUGAACGCUGGCGGCGUGCCUAAUACAUGCAAGUCGAGCGAACGGACGAGAAGCUUGCUUCUCUGAUGUUAGCGGCGGACGGGUGAGUAACACGUGGAUAACCUACCUAUAAGACUGGGAUAACUUCGGGAAACCGGAGCUAAUACCGGAUGAUAUUUUGAACCGCAUGGUUCAAAAGUGAAAGACGGUCUUGCUGUCACUUAUAGAUGGAUCCGCGCUGCAUUAGCUAGUUGGUAAGGUAACGGCUUACCAAGGCAACGAUGCAUAGCCGACGUGAGAGGGUGAUCGGCCACACUGGAACUGAGACACGGUCCAGACUCCUACGGGAGGCAGCAGUAGGGAAUCUUCCGCAAAGGGCGAAAGCAUGACGGAGCAACGCCGCGUGAGUGAUGAAGGUCUUCGGAUCGUAAAACUCUGUUAUUAGGGAAGAACAUAUGUGUAAGUAACUGUGCACAUCUUGACGGUACCUAAUCAGAAAGCCACGGCUAACUACGUG